CCAUCGGGCAGGUCCAGCCCCAUGAUUCGGUCAUGGGGCUGCAGGAGGGCUGUGUAGGCAGCCAAAUUGGCUGGGGACCCUGAGUAGGGCUGGACAUUGACUCCCCACUGUGCAGGAUCCAGGUCAAAGGCCUCCAAGGCUCGGCGCUGACACAGUAGCUCGAUUUCAUCCACUAUCUCUGCUCCCCCGUAAUACCUGCCAUGGGAGCGGGGAGAUACAUGAGGACACAGAGAAAGGGCUCCACCACCCCUCUUGACCAACAGCAAAGGACUGGGCAGAUCACUCCUCUACAAUCCCUGGGAGAGUACAGGGUUUCUUACCAGGCCUGGGACAGCACCAGAGGCAGCAUCCUCAAACCCAGCUGGCACAAUAGGACACAGACAGCCCCAGCCCCCUGAAGCAAGCAAUGAGGCCGGGUUGCAUCAUCUGCACGACUCAGAGCUAGCCGGAAAAGCUCAGUUCCUGGGUGCAGGCCCCAGAACACGUGCAUGAAAAAGCCGGAGAACCCCAGAGUUUGUGAAUAAGAGUUAGGAAAGGAAAAGGGCUUCCUUUCCACUGGUCUCCCAGUCUCCCGAGCUCCAGCCUUACCCGGGCCGCCCAGAGCAAAGGAAAGGGUAGCAUUGCAGUCCGAAAUCGUAGGAAGUCCAGCCACCAACUAGCUCCUAAGGCAGAAGCAGAGCGGAAGAAGACGGAUCAGAGAGCGCAUGCGCCUCAAGAGUCGCCUGAGAUGCCGCAGGAAUAAGGGGAGGGAUCUACGCAUGCGUGAGAUGGCCCCUCUAGGGCCUUUCGGAAAUUGUAGUUUUUUCCCCUUCUGCCACUUCACUUUCACAUGUCUAGCCCCUGGGUUACAGGUCCUUGCCUGAAAGAUAAAAAAUCA